rnacentral:rRNA from 1 species
GCGAGGGGAGUGAAAAAGAACCUGAAACCGUGUACGUACAAGCAGUGGGAGCACGCUUCGGCGUGUGACUGCGUACCUUUUGUAUAAUGGGUCAGCGACUUAUAUUCUGUAGCAAGGUUAACCGAAUAGGGGAGCCGAAGGGAAACCGAGUCUUAACUGGGCGUUAAGUUGCAGGGUAUAGACCCGAAACCCGGUGAUCUAGCCAUGGGCAGGUUGAAGGUUGGGUAACACUAACUGGAGGACCGAACCGACUAAUGUUGAAAAAUUAGCGGAUGACUUGUGGCUGGGGG